rnacentral:rRNA from 1 species
GACGAACGCUGGCGGCGUGCUUAACACAUGCAAGUCGAACGGAAAGGCCCUGCUUUUGUGGGCUGCUCGAGUGGCGAACGGGUGAGUAACACGUGAGUAACCUGCCCUUGACUUUGGGAUAACUUCAGGAAACUGGGGCUACUACCGGAUAGGAGCUCCUGCUGCAUGGUGGGGGUGGGAAAGUUUCGGCGGUUGGGGAUGGAUUCGCGGCUUAUCAGCUUGUUGGUGGGGUAGUGGCUUACCAAGGCUUUGCCGGGUAGCCGGCCUGAGAGGGUGACCGGCCACAUUGGGACUGAGAUACGGCCCAGACUCCUACGGGAGGCAGCAGUGGGGAAUAUUGCACAAUGGGCGGAAGCCUGAUGCAGCAACGCCGCGUGCGGGAUGACGGCCUUCGGGUUGUAAACCGCUUUCGCCUGUGACGAAGCGUGAGUGACGGUAAUGGGUAAAGAAGCACCGGCUAACUACGUG